rnacentral:lncRNA from 1 species
AACUUUUUUAUUUUGAUUAACAAUUAUCGUCAAAGUCAUGGUUAAUUAAAUUGUGCCCGAAUUUUCUUGUGUCAUCGAACCUUUAAUUUUCUCAUUGAACGCUAUUUUUUCUAAUUACGAUUUGGUUGCUUUGUGAUUUAACAUCGUACGUCUAUUGUAAUCAUUUCUGGUAUCUCUAGUUUAGCACCAAUGAAGAGCAAGUGAAUAACUUCAUGGUUUCUGUGUGUGGUUAUGAAGAAAAGUAAAACAAAACGAAUGAAAGAAGACGAUGAAAUGGUGCGAUUGAGGUCCGUUGUUUUUGUUAACUUGUUCUGAGAUGUGAGUCGGGUAGUUUUGAAAUGAAGUCGGUGUACUUGUGUAUUAUAUUAAAGCUGAUUAAUGUUUUUGUAAAAUUUAGCAUUAAUUGAAGUGUAUAAUUGGUGAAAACCCAAAGGACUUAAAAGAGUUUUGGGCGGUUAUAGAGAAAAUGCAUCAUGGUAUAGCUUCUCAUCAUUUAGGGAGGAAACAAAGUUGAGGUUAAUCCAAAAUUGGUUCAUGGAUGACCCACAAAUCGGAAUCUUUGAGAUAUUGCCUGCAUUUCAUUAUGAUUUGAUCUUUUGUUUGUUCUUAUGGAGAAAAUAUUGCCACUCCCUUUUGCUUUAACAAGGGGAUUGGUCCCAAAAGCAAGUAGCUGUUCAUCAGAAGGCUGUACACGAUAUGCCCAUAACUCAUUUUAUUUACUUCUUAUCUGGGAUUUUUUUCUUUUUACUAGAACAAGAAUUGAGGGCAUAUUAAAUUACAUGGUUUGGAUCGAAAGUGAGAAUUGAGAAUGAAAAUUAAAAAUCUAGUAUUUUCUUACCAUGAUUGAGGGUAUUUAUAGGUUAAAAAACAGAUUUUUUUUUUUUUCUCAAAAUAUGUUAAAAUUUUCAAAAAGAAUAAACAAUUUUAUUAACAUCUUAUAUGAAAUUUGAUUUUACUAAAUAAUAA